UUCGCAAUGCCCGAAAGGGUGACGAAGCGACGCCGCGUGUGGGAAGAAGGCCUUCGGGUUGUAAACCACUGUCGGGAGUUAGGAAAUGUAAGGGUGUUAAUAGUAUCCUUACUUGACUAAGGCUCCGGAGGAAGCCACGGCUAACUCUGUGCCAGCAGCCGCGGUAAUACAGAGGCGGCAAGCGUUGUUCGGAAUUAUUGGGCGUAAAGAGCACGUAGGCGGCUAUGUAAGUCGGUUGUGAAAGCCUUCCGCUCAACGGAAGAACAGCAUCCGAUACUGCAUGGCUUGAGUGCGGGAGGGGAGAGUGGAACUUCUGGUGGAGCGGUGAAAUGCGUAGAUAUCAGAAGGAACGCCGGCGGCGAAAGCGGCUCUCUGGCCCAUAACUGACGCUGAGUGUGCGAAAGCUAGGGGAGCAAACGGGAUUAGAUACCCCGGUAGUCCUAGCCGUAAAC
rnacentral:rRNA from 1 species